rnacentral:rRNA from 1 species
CCUACGGGAGGCAGCAGUGGGGAAUAUUGCACAAUGGGGGGAACCCUGAUGCAGCGACGCCGCGUGAGUGAAGAAGUAUUUCGGUAUGUAAAGCUCUAGCAGCAGGGAAGAAAAGGACGGUACCUGACUAAGAAGACCCGGCUAACUACGGGCCAGCAGCCGCGGUAAUACGUAGGGGGCAAGCGUUAUCCGGAUUUACUGGGUGUAAAGGGAGCGGAGCCGGUUAUGCAAGUCUGAAGUGAAAGCCAACGGCUCAACCCUGGGACUGCUUUGGAAACUGUAAAACUGGAGUGCAGGAGCGGUAAGCGGAAUUCCUCGUGUCGCGGUGAAAUGCGUCGAUAUUAGGCGGAACACCAGUGGCGCCGGCGGCUUACUGGACUGUAACUGACGUUGAGGCUCGAAGGCGUGGGGAGCAAACAGGAUUAGCUACCCGAGUAGUC